AAUCUGCAAGCCAGCUUCACCCCUCCCAUCGAGUUCUGGUCAGGAGGCUUCUGGUUGAGUUCAAAUUGCUAUAAAGUUCAGCUGGAGCCUUCCUUCUCCCUGUGGCCUUUUCCCAGUACCUCUGGCCACCCUCCCGAAGGACCUUUGUAAGGCCAGGCAAAAAUGGCUUGCUAGGGGACCCAGUGAUCUCCCAGGGCUUUUUCCAACUGCUUCCUCUUCCCCUAUAUUUUGCUUGGCUCUCUAAAUCGACUCAGCUCCAGGGUCUCCCUCUGUUGCCCAGGCUGGAGGACAGUGGUAUAAUCAUAGCUAACUGCAGCUUUGAACUCCUGAGAACAGCAAUCCUCCUUCCUCGGUCUUCCGCAGCAUUGGGAUUACAGGUCCUGAAGAAAAUGAAGUUGAUGUUUCAGUGAGACACCUGUAUGCCAGAGAGUAAAAGGGAUUAUUGUGGAUUCCUGAGAAUUUUCUACAUAUGAAAUCAUGUCAUCUAUGAACAGAGAUGGGACUGUCUCGUUGGAGGAAAACAAGCUCAGGGCUCCCACUGAUUCCACAUUAUGGUGAGUUGUAUAAUUACUUCAUUAUAUAUUACAAUGUAAUAAUAAUAGAAAUAAAGCACACAAUAAAUGUAAUGCACUUGAAUAAACUCAAAACCAUUCCCACUGACUCUGGUCUGUGGAAAAGUUGUUUUCCAUGAACCAGUCCCUGGUUCCAAAAACGUUGGAAACUGCUAAUUUAGCAGUUUACAUACUGUCUUUGUGGUUUUGGAAAACUACUAAACAAUUUCAAGUAAUACAUAAAUAAUUUAAGGACAUAGACACGAACAAUGAGAAUGUGAACAACAGAACUCAUGGGAAAAUAAGUAGAGCAGUUACCCAUGAAGGGG
rnacentral:lncRNA from 1 species